AAUCUAGACAUCAGUGACCUUGAGUUUGAUCCUUCAAGGUCAACCAACCCGAUGACCUCUAGUACUCACCUGUGAUUCAUCUGCUAUGUCUGAAAUUUGUAAGGUUGAAACCCUACUGCAAAUUACCUCCAUGUAAUUAUUCCAUUUCUUAGUUAAAAAUGGCAGAACGGCUCCUUGUAAGAAUUGCAAGUUUUUGGUGCAUGUUGAGGAGGUUCUGCAUGGAGUCCUAGUCACAGAGUAAAGUGAAAUUGUUCAGAAGAGUGAAAUCUCAAAUGCUGAUCAAAUAAAGGACAUGUUUUUCUGUAGGUUCCACAAGUAGUAACAGUUAAUAUCAGUGCAUUUGAAUAAAACAGACUUCACUUACCCUGUGCAAAUGUGCAGUACAAAACAGAGGUGGUGAGUUAAACUCUAAAUCACCAGUGUCUCCAGGUUCUACUACUCCAGUCGAAAUGGGCCUUUAAAUCUUCCACACUGGACCUUGAACAUUUCAGCAUGGGCCUAUGAGCAGAAUUAGUUCCAUUGAGCCCAUCGUGAUCUGGGUUAUAAAUACAAUGUGGAAACAUCAAGUAAUCAGUGCUAUAAUGAACUUAAAGCAGAACAGGAAACAUCUGUGUCCACUUUAAAAUGAACAAUACCCCCAUUUUCAGAGAUGUAAUUUAUUGAGGCUGUUGAACUUUUUUCUUUUUUUAAUUAAUCCUAGAGUAACACGAUCACUGCAGUGUCAGUCUUUAAAAUGAUGUAAUCAACAAAAACUGCAUUUUAGAAGAUUAGUGUGUGCAUUUUAAAUUCUAGCUCAGAAUUAUGUCUGUGAUGCACACAUUGGAAGACAAUUUCUGCAUUUUCCUGUCUAUAAUAACCCUAAUAUGCUCUAGUAAAUACAUAUCUGACUCAAUUAUUAUUAAAUAUAUUUAUAUGUUUUUGUCAUUACUGUAAUGGAUAUUUAAUGUAUUUUUCACUUUUAAUCUUGUUUCUGUGAUUUUUGUCCAGCUCUAUGGUCGUGUACAUUAUUUAUUCCACAUUGGAACAUGUCCUGUAAUAAUAUAUGAUUUUAUUUCCAU